UUUCUUUCCCACUUGGCCUAGUUUUGUUUUGGCUGAGGGGAGAGGCCCUUUCCCCAGGUGCGUCAAUCCACUGAGAUGUGGAGGGGACAUUCUGGUGGGAAUGGGAUGGGCUUGAGCCCCUCCAUGUCCCAGCUUUGAAGCCCACUCCAGACAAUGACACGCUCAGGCACACAUCUAUAGGUGAAGCAGCAGCUGCCCAGAGUUGGCUUGGGGGGGGUUCCCUAGGCAGCCAGGGAAGCAGGGAGACGCUAACCCACCCAGCUGUCCCCAGCCACCCAGCUGUCCCUGGCUUUGUAGGAGCAGCUGUCACCCAGCUCCCAAAAGGGUCGGGGCAGAGGAGGCCCAGAAAGAGCUGGGGCUGCCCCAGGGAACAGGCUUAUUCAGAAGUCAUCGGAGGGGCCUUCUCUGCCCUGAACUGGUGGCCCCUUGGAGGGCUGGCUGCAGCCACAGGUGCCCCAGUGCCCAGCCCUCCCCUCCUGCCUUCCCCCAAAGGCCAUCACGCCUCCCCUUUCCGGGAAGGGUUGGGGAUCUGACCACGUCUCCCUACCCCACAGACUGGGGCCGACAGCUCCUGUGGCCCAGAUGUGCUGAGCCCGCAGCGAGGCCACCGCGAGGGAGUGGGUGGGGGUGGUUUCCUCUGCUGCCUGCCGGCCCCAGCUCUUUCAUGUUGCCGCCCUCCCCAUCCCAGCCCGGAGCCAAGCAGCUGGGCCGCUCCUGCCCCCUCCCUCGGCCUCGCUCCCAGCUGUCUUUGGGGUGGGGCAGGGCAGCUGGGGAACAGCUGCAAGGCAGGAGCCUGGGGGGUGAUGGGUGCCCCCUGCAACUGCCGGAAACGGUCUUUGGGCCAAGAAGGGAGUCUGAAGGGUGGGGGUGGAGAGGGCGAGGCCUAGGGGAUGAUCGGCUCCACCCCUUCUCCCAGCGCAUCUGGCCAGGAGACCCCAGCUCAAAGCCCCCUCCAGCUUCAAAGGGCACCCUGGGGUGGGAGGCAGGAGACGAGGGUGGAUGCCCUGACCCACUGAGUCCGCACCCCAGGGCCCCUCUCUCCAAGCUGUGACCUCACCUCAGGGUUCUUAACAGGCCUUGCUAACACUCUCCCACUCAGAUCCUGUCAUUGUCACCAUGGCCUUCCUAAGACACCCUCAUCUUCUCCCAUCCGAGGGUGGGGGAGAACCAAUUCGAUUCGCAACUUCAGGACCCAGGACCCAUCUAGCCGCCUGGGGGAUUCCCUACCCCACCUCUGCAGCCUGUAAAUUCUGGGGGAGGAGGCCCUGGAGGGAGGAUCAGAGGCAUGUCCUUCCCCAACCUCCCACUCUGGCCUACUAAGAAAUGGGAGCAGGGCUGACCCUAUGAAAGUGUGGGAGGUGAAGGAGCUGGAGUCGUGAUUCCUGGGUAUCCCCAGACAGACAUCACCACACUACAGCCCCUCUUCUAAGGUGAUCCCAGCACUUUGGGAGGCUGAAGCAGGAGGAUCCCUUGAUGAGACCAGCAUGGGCAGUAUAAGGAGAUCCUGUCUCUAUAAAAAAUUAAAAUAUUAGGCUGGGCGCGGUGGCUCAUGCCUGUAAUCCCAACACUUUGGGAGGCCAAGGCAAGCAGAUCACUUGAGGUCAGGAGUUCGAGACCAGCCUGGCCAACAUGGUGAAAGCCCAACUCUACUAAAAAUAAAAAAAAUUAUCUGGGCCGGGCACGGUUGUUCACACCUGUAAUCCCAGCACUUUGGGAGGCUGAGGCAGGCGGAUUACGAGGUCAGGAGAUGGAGACCAUCUUGGCCAACAUGGUGAAACCCUGUCUCUACUAAAAUACAAAAACUUAGCUGGGCGUGAAGGCACAUGCCUGUAAUUCCAGCUACUUGGAAGGCUGAGGCAGGGGAAUCGCUUGAAACUGGGAGGCGGAGGUUGCACUGAGCAGAGAUCGUGCCACUGCAUUCCAGCCUCGGGACAGAGCAAGACUUCCUCUCAAAAAAAAAAAAUUAUCUGGGUGUGGUGGUGGGCACCUGCAAUCACAGCUACUGGGGAGCCUGAGGCAGGAGAAUCGCUUGAACAGGGGAGGCGGAGGUUGCAGUGAGCCGAGAUGGCGCCAUUGCACUCCAACUGGGGUGACAGCGCGAGACUCCAUAUCAAAAAAAAAAAAAAAAAAAAAAGGCCGGCACGGUGGCUCACGCCUGUAAUCCCAGCACUUUGGGAGGCUGAGGCGGGAGGAUCAUGAGGUCAGGAGAUCGAGACUAUCCUAGCUAACACAGUGAAACCCCGUCUCUACUAAAAAUACAAAUAAUUAGCUGGGCGUGGUGGCCUGCACUUGUAGUCCUGGCUACUCGGGAGGCAGAGGCAGGAGAAUGGUGUGAACCCAGGAGGCAGAGCUUGCAGUGAGCCGAGAUCGUGUCACUGCACUCCAGCCUGGGCCACAGAGCAAGACUCUGUCUCAAAAACAAAACAAAACAAAACAAAAACCCACAAAAAAUUAAAAAUUUAACCUGACGUGCUGGCAUGUGUGGUCUCAGCUACUCAGGAGGCUGAGGCAAGAGGAUCACUUGAGUGCUGGAGGAUCCCUUGAGCCUGGGAGGUCAAGGCUGCAGUGAGCUGUGAUUGCACCACUGAACUCCAGCCUGGACGACAGAGCGA
rnacentral:lncRNA from 10 species